rnacentral:rRNA from 1 species
GACGAACGCUGGCGGCGUGCUUAACACAUGCAAGUCGAACGGAAAGGCCCUGCUUUUGUGGGGUGCUCGAGUGGCGAACGGGUGAGUAACACGUGAGUAACCUGCCCUUGACUUUGGGAUAACUUCAGGAAACUGGGGCUAAUACCGGAUAGGAGCUCCUGCUGCAUGGUGGGGGUUGGAAAGUUUCGGCGGUUGGGGAUGGACUCGCGGCUUAUCAGCUUGUUGGUGGGGUAGUGGCUUACCAAGGCUUUGACGGGUAGCCGGCCUGAGAGGGUGACCGGCCACAUUGGGACGGAGAUACGGCCCAGACUCCUACGGGAGGCAGCAGUGGGGAAUAUUGCACAAUGGGCGGAAGCCUGAUGCAGCAACGCCGCGUGCGGGAUGACGGCCUUCGGGUGGUAAACCGCUUUCGCCUGUGACGAAGCGUGAGUGACGGUAAUGGGUAAAGAAGCACCGGCUAACUACGUG